rnacentral:rRNA from 1 species
UACGAAGGGGGCUAGCGUUGUUCGGAUUUACUGGGCGUAAAGCGCACGUAGGCGGUUUGUUAAGUGAGAGGUGAAAUCCCAGAGCUCAACUCUGGAACUGCCUUUCAUACUGGCAAGCUAGGGUGCGGAAGAGGGAAGCGGAAUUUCCGGUGUAGCGGUGAAAUGCGUAGAUAUCGGAAGGAACACCAGUGGCGAAAGCGGCUUCCUGGUCCAGCACCGACGUCAGGCACGAAAGCGUGGGGAGCAAACAGG